rnacentral:rRNA from 1 species
GACGAACGCUGGCGGCGUGCUUAACACAUGCAAGUCGAACGAUGAAGCCGGAGCUUGCUCUGGUGAAUUAGUGGCGAACGGGUGAGUAACACGUGAGUAACCUGCCCUUGACUCUGGGAUAACUGCGGGAAACUGUAGCUAAUACCGGAUACGACCCUCGGAGGCAUCUCCUGGGGGUGGAAAGAAUUUCGGUCAAGGAUGGACUCGCGGCCUAUCAGCUAGUUGGUGAGGUAAAGGCUCACCAAGGAGACGAGGGGUAGCCGGCCUGAGAGGGUGGACGGCCACACUCGGACUGAGACCCGGCCCAGACUCCUACGGGAGGCAGCAGUGGGGGAUAUUGCCCAAUGGGCGCAAGCCUGAUGCAGCAACGCCGCGUGAGGGAUGCCGGCCUUCGGGUUGUAAACCUCUUUUAGCAGGGAAGAAGCGAAAGUGACGGUACCUGCAGAAAAAGCACCGGCUAACUACGUGCCAGCCGCCGCGGUAA